GAUGAACGCUGGCGGCGUGCCUAAUACAUGCAAGUCGAGCGAAUGGAUUAAGAGCUUGCUCUUAUGAAGUUAGCGGCGGACGGGUGAGUAACACGUGGGUAACCUGCCCAUAAGACUGGGAUAACUCCGGGAAACCGGGGCUAAUACCGGAUAACAUUUUGAACCGCAUGGUUCGAAAUUGAAAGGCGGCUUCGGCUGUCACUUAUGGAUGGACCCGCGUCGCAUUAGCUAGUUGGUGAGGUAACGGCUCACCAAGGCAACGAUGCGUAGCCGACCUGAGCGGGUGAUCGGCCACACUGGGACUGAGACACGGCCCAGACUCCUACGGGAGGCAGCAGUAGGGAAUCUUCCGCAAUGGACGAAAGUCUGACGGAGCAACGCCGCGUGAGUGAUGAAGGCUUUCGGGUCGUAAAACUCUGUUGUUAGGGAAGAACAAGUGCUAGUUGAAUAAGCUGACACCUUGACGGUACCUAACCAGAAAGCCACGGCUAACUACGCGCCAGCCGCCGCCGUAA
rnacentral:rRNA from 1 species